rnacentral:misc_RNA from 1 species
CUGAGAACCUGCCCCUAGGGGUAGAUCUCCCACCCAAUGUUUACAUACUUUGUUGCUUUGGCAGGCCUGCCUUCUGUGCUACUGGCCUCGGCUAGUUAGUGCCUGCCAGAGAACCAACACUCUGAAUCAUUUAUUGUCUGAGUACUACUUUUAAUAGUUA